GCGGAGGAAAAGAAACCAACCGGGAUUGCCUUAGUAACGGCGAGUGAAGCGGCAAAAGCUCAAAUUUGAAAUCUGGUACCUUCGGUGCCCGAGUUGUAAUUUGGAGAGGGCAACUUUGGGGCCGUUCCUUGUCUAUGUUCCUUGGAACAGGACGUCAUAGAGGGUGAGAAUCCCGUGUGGCGAGGAGUGCGGUUCUUUGUAAAGUGCCUUCGAAGAGUCGAGUUGUUUGGGAAUGCAGCUCUAAGUGGGUGGUAAAUUCCAUCUAAAGCUAAAUAUUGGCGAGAGACCGAUAGCGAACAAGUACAGUGAUGGAAAGAUGAAAAGAACUUUGAAAAGAGAGUGAAAAAGUACGUGAAAUUGUUGAAAGGGAAGGGCAUUUGAUCAGACAUGGUGUUUUGUGCCCUCUGCUCCUUGUGGGUAGGGGAAUCUCGCAUUUCACUGGGCCAGCAUCAGUUUUGGUGGCAGGAUAAAUCCAUAGGAAUGUAGCUUGCCUCGGUAAGUAUUAUAGCCUGUGGGAAUACUGCCAGCUGGGACUGAGGACUGCGACGUAAGUCAAGGAUGCUGGCAUAAUGGUUAUAUGCCGCCCGUCUUGAAACACGGACC
rnacentral:rRNA from 1 species